GGGGAUGUUCCGGUUUCGACGGAUGUGCCCGAGGUUUUGAAUUGCAGGUGAGGUUCAGCCUGUCCUCUGAACAGACUAAAAACGAUAACUGCCAAAAAAGAAGAAGACUUCAUCGUCGAAGGUGACUUCGGCGAAGAGCAGUUCGCACUCGCGGCUUAACCCGCGGAUGCCGGAAGGGUGAUUCCGCCGCCUUGAGGGGUCAUUCAUUCCGCCGACAACCAGGGCUCGCUCCGGGCGGGGUUCGGACCGUCCGGGGGACUCUUCCCGGAAUAGGGGGGCGAAUCUUGCCGCGCUGCUACCGUCCCUCGACAAUCACCUCGCGCGGCUAAACCUGUAGGCGUUCCUGACCCGCACAUUCGGACGGGAGUUCAAUUCUCCCCAUCUCCAA
rnacentral:tmRNA from 1 species